GGUGUGAAUUGCAGAAUCCCGUGAACCAUCGAGUCUUUGAACGCAAGUUGCGCCCGAAGCCAAUAGGCCGAGGGCACGUCUGCCUGGGUGUCA
rnacentral:rRNA from 1 species